ACCUCUGAAGUUACAUUGAAAACAUCGGUUUUCAUACGAUCACCGAAGUUAAGCAAUGUCAUCCCCGGUCAGUACUUGGGAGGGUGACCACUUGGAGAUGCUGUAGGCA